rnacentral:rRNA from 1 species
UACGAAGGGGGCUAGCGUUGCUCGGAAUCACUGGGCGUAAAGGGCGCGUAGGCGGCGUUUUAAGUCGGGGGUGAAAGCCUGUGGCUCAACCACAGAAUGGCCUUCGAUACUGGGACGCUUGAGUAUGGUAGAGGUUGGUGGAACUGCGAGUGUAGAGGUGAAAUUCGUAGAUAUUCGCAAGAACACCGGUGGCGAAGGCGGCCAACUGGACCAUUACUGACGCUGAUGCGCGAAAGCGUGGGGAGCAAACAGG